rnacentral:rRNA from 1 species
GACGAACGCUGGCGGCGUGCUUAACACAUGCAAGUCGAACGGAAAGGCCCCUUUGGGGGUACUCGAGUGGCGCACGGGUGAGUAACACGUGAGUAACCUGCCCUUGACUUCGGGAUAACUUCAGGAAACUGGGGCUAAUACCGGAUAGGAAUCCUUGCUGCAUGGUGGGGGUUGGAAAGCUUCGGCGGCUUUGGAUGGACUCGCGGCUUACCAGCUUGUUGGUGGGGUAGUGGCUUACCAAGGCUUUGACGGGUAGCCGGCCUGUGAGGGCGACCGGCCACAUUGGGACUGAGAUACGGCCCAGGCUCCUACGGGAGGCAGCAGUGGGGAAUAUUGCACAAUGGGCGGAAGCCUGAUGCAGCAACGCCGCGUGCGGGAUGACGGCCUUCGGGUUGUAAACCGCUUUCAGCAGGGGCGAAGCUUGUGGUGACGGUACCUGCAGAAGAAGCACCGGCUAACUACGUG